rnacentral:rRNA from 1 species
GAUGAACGCUGGCGGCGUGCCUAAUACAUGCAAGUCGAGCGGACGGACGAGGAGCUUGCUUCUCUGCUGUUAGCGGCGGACGGGUGAGUACCACGUGGCUAACCUACCUAUAAGACUGGGAUAACUUCGGGAAACCGGAGCUAAUACCGGAUCAUAUUUUGAACCGCAUGGAUCAAAAGUGAAAGACGGUCUUGCUGUCACUUAUAGAUAGAUCCGCGCUGGAUUAGCUAGUUGGUAAGGUAACGGCCUACCAAGGCAACGAUGCAUAGCCGACCUGAGAGGGUGAUCGGCCACACUGGAACUGAGACACGGUCCAGACUCCUACGGGAGGCAGCAGUAGGGAAUCUUCCGCAAUGGGCGAAAGCCUGACGCAGCAACGCCGCGUGAGUGAUGAAGGUCUUCGGAUCGUAAAACUCUAUUAUUAGGGAAGAACAGAUGUGUAAGUAACUGUGCACAUCUUGACGGUACCUAAACAGAAAGCCACGGCUAACUACGUG